rnacentral:lncRNA from 1 species
CAAGGCUGAGGCCAAUGAGGCCUGCGCCUCAGACCCAAGAUUCUAGAGGGCCUAAUUUUGGCCCAAAUUUGUUUUAUCAAAACAAGGUAGUUGGCCCAAAACUAAUUAUCCAAUAAUUAAACAAUAGCCCACAAGUCCAUUUACCCUUAAAUUUCAACCCAACUUAUAUAUCCAAUAUUCACAAUUCAUUUACCCAAAAGUCCCAAAAUCUGAAAUACGAUCCACGACCUGCUCAUCAUCUAAGUGUCUGUGUCGUCUUCGUCAGGUCACUACAGUCUCCACCAGUUCGCCUCCGCCCUUCUGCCGCCGAUCGCUUCGUGCACGAGUUCCCAAAAUCUUUGAGAAGUCGGUCGACUGUAAUAAUCAUUCAUUCCUUAAAAGUCAAGCAAGAAUAUAACCCAUCACCUUCCUUUCCUUAUUCUGCUACACACUUUAUCUCCCUUUUUCUAUGGCCUUCGCAACUCAGAAAUAAUGUGUGCCUUGUCUUGUAUUUUGAUAAUUUCAAGCUUAAGAAUUAUUCGUAUUAUACUGAUUUUAUCUCAACAGAGAUAUGGCGACAACCCAGCUUCGUAUCAACAAAAAUGAAUACAUGGCUAAUUUCGAUUACACUGAAACUGGAUUUUUACAGUCUUUUGACGAUGCGGGUUACCCACCCAACCCCUUUGGCGAGUUGGGUCUGCACCUAUCCCCAUCGGAGCUCCUGGAGACAGCCUACUAGGUCCUAAUCGAAGCCUGCCGGAGCUCUGGAGCCGGCAGACCCCUCACUUACAUCUCCAAUUCUGAAAGGACCGCCGAGAGGUCACAGACUCGGUCGAAGUCUACUCGUCGGUCGAAUAUUGGCUUAUUGGGUAAACUGGCAAUGGGCAUCGAUUGACAGUCACAGAAUGGUAACUGCACUUCUUUGGAAUUUUGAGGGGUUUUAAUGGUUCAUAGAUUUGUAACAUAUCCUUCAUAUUUCUUAAUGUUUUGGGAAAUUUUAAGAGAUGGUCUCUUAUUUGUGCAUUGUUGGACCGAGUUCUUUUAGCCUUUUGUUCUCCACAAUGCUGACUUGUUGUCUAGUUGUACGAGUGGUGGAAAAGCAUUUAAAUUUCCAAACAAGUAUGAAGAACCUAUAAAUUUCUCAAGUUAAAUGUUAAUGAUCUGAACUUUGCACUGAACAUUCAAGGUUUUGAAAACUAGAUAGGCCCGACUGGUUCAAUUCUUGUGUUUUUUAGUUCGUCCCCUUAUUACAUUUUAAAUUGUCAGGUAAAUUGGAGAAAAUCCCCAGUAGUGGCAUCCUAAUGACAAUGUAGUUGUGAAGGAAAUUGAAAAUAUGAACAAGAUUAAAAUGGCUCUCUUUUUCAAUCACACGAUGAACUUUCAAGACUUCAGUGAUUAUUUUAUGGGAUUUUUGCUUGAUCAAAGUAUGAUGAGA